CCUGAGGGUCGAAGGUCAGAACACCACCGCCAUCAGCCUGAGCUGGGACCCUCCUGAGAACUCCUCCUCGCAGGACCUCACCUACUGGGCGCAGUGCAUCGGAUAUGAUGGCAAAAAUGAGACCCGGCAUACAAAAGACACCAGAGUCACUGUGGAUGGACUUGAUCCUGGGACUUCAUAUGAAUGCUCUGUGAGAGUGGAGAAGGAUGGCGUCUACAGCACUUGGGAGACAAAAAAUACCACAACAG
rnacentral:lncRNA from 1 species